rnacentral:rRNA from 1 species
AUGAUGCGAAAUUUCCUUAGAUGGAAAUUGCAUGAAGAUAAAUUCUUUACUAGCAGUUCCGGCAUCACAUUGGCAUAUUCCUGUCAAAUACAUCAUCUAUGUAUAGACGAUUAUCCAAUUGAUGAUGGUGCAGCGGAGGGAGUGGAUCCCUUGUUAGGCUUGGAUUGGUCUCGGAUUCGAUCUCUUGUUGUUUUUGAAGGUGCCAAGAGAUAUAUCCCUUUUGAGAAGUUGAAACAUGUGCGAGUGUUGGAUCUUCAAUAUCAUCAGCAGUAUCUUGAGUUCGAAAAGGUUCGUCGGGAUUACCAUUAUGGGAAUCAUCAUGUGAAAGAUAUAUGUGGACUUCUCCAUCUGAGGCACCUAUUCGGCCUAGAUGGGACGGGAAUUAAUGUGAUACCACCAGAAAUAGCGAGGCUGCACUAUUUGGAAACUUUACAGAUAAGAUUCACAUGGAUCACAGAGUUACCCAGCGAGAUUGGGGACCUCCCGCAAUUGAAGAUUCUAGACAUGAGUCACAGCAAAAAGCUGGCAAAGCUGCCUAGGGAGAUAGGGGAUCUGCAGCAUUUAGAGACUCUGGACCUGAGCUAUAGCAGGCCUAGCUAG